CUGACAUUGAGGUUCAAAUAAAGGAAAAUUUUUUUUCAAAGAUUCUUUUUUUAGAGGCAGGCUCUGGUGGCAUAGGAGGCUAAGCCUCCACCUGCAGGGCGAGCAUCCCAUAUGGGCACAAGUUCAUGUCCCAGCUGCUCCUCAUCUGAUCCAGCUCCCUGUUAAUGGCCUGGGAAAGCAGUAGAAGAUGGCCCAAGUGGUUAGGCCCCUGCACUCAUGUGGGAGACCCAGAAGAAGUUCCUGGCUCCUAGCUUCAGAUUAGCUCAGCUCCAGGCCAUUUGGGGAAUGAGCCAGCAGAUGGAAGAUGGAUCUCCCUCUCCCUCUCCCUGUCCCUCUCCCUGUCCCUCUCCCUGUCCCUCUCCCUGUCCCUCUCCCUCUCCCUCUCCCUCUCCCUCUCCCUCUCCCUCUCCCUCUCCCUCUCCCUCUCCCCCUCUCCCCCGCCCCAGUAUGUUAUUUAUUAAUUUGAAAGACAGAGUUACAGAGAGAGAAUGGCCACCCUCUGCUGCUCUCCCAAGCACAUUAACAGGGAGCUGGAUCAGAAGUGAAGCUGGCAGAAUAGAGCUGGUGCCCAUAUGGGAUGCUCGAAGUGCAGAUGGUGGUUUAGGCUGCAGCACCACAGCAGUGACCCCACAGUUUAAAUUUUAGAACCAAACAGGAUCAUCACAACUAUGUAUGUAUGUUUGGGACACUAAUGAACAGUUUGCUGUUGUUCAUAAAAGAUGAAUUUGUUGAGGCUGGUGCCAUGGUGCAGUAGGUUAAUCCUCCGCCUGCAGCACCAGCAUCCCAUAUGGGCGCCAGUUCAAGUCCUGGCUGCUCCGCUUCCGAUCCAGCUCUCUACUAUGGCCUGGAAAAGCAGAAGAUGACUCAAGUGCUUGGGCCUCUGCACCCGUGUGGGAGACCUGAAAGAAGCUUCUGGCUCCUGGCUUCAGAUUGGCACAGCUCCAGCCAUUGUAGCUACCUGGGGAGUGAACCAGCAGGUGGAAGGCACCUCUCUCUCUCUCUCUUCCCCCACCUCGCCUCUCUGUAACUCUGCCUUUCAAAUAAAUAAAUAAAUCUUAAAAAGAAAAAAAGAUGUAUUUGUUACUUGGAAGUGCUACUUUGUUAUUGAAGUUUUGCAAAGAAGUUAUCUAAUUUGAAUUAACCAUUUUAAUUAAGGUCAUUGUCUGGGUCAUUUUUCUAUUCAAUUCUUAACUUUACAACUUCAUGCAAACUGCCUUUUGGUACUGAGUUUUGUUUUGUUUUUUAAGACUUAUUUAUUUGAAAUCAUAGUGAAAGAGAGAGAGGAAGAGACAGAGACAGAGAGAUCUUCCAUCUACUGGUUCACUCCCUCAGAUGACUGCAAGGCCAGAGCUGAAGCCAGGCUGAAGCCAUGAGCCACAAACUCCAUCCUGGUCUCCCAUGUGGAUGUCAGAAACCCAAGCACUUGGGCCAUCUUCUGCUGCUUUCACAGGCACCUUAGCAGGGAGCUGGAUUGGAAGUGGAGCAGCCAGGACUUGGAACAGCACUCUGAUAUGGGAUCUGGUGUUGCAGGUAGCGGCUUAAUACACUGCACCACAAACCAGCCCAGGUACUGAGUUUUGCUGCUAGUACAAUUCACUCAUUCAUUCAGCAAUGUUUUUUGAACUUCUAUUGUUGUUCAGCACUGGGCUAAAUUUGGAGAAUCAAUAAGAAACAAUAGAAAAGAAGAAAAAAAUUCCUGGGCUUCACAGAGUUUAACUAUAGAUUGAGGUUAUUGGAUGGGAAAAGAAAAGAAAGCACACCAAAGAGGUAGCCCCACAAGCCUAUGACACCCAAUAUCCAUAUUUCUUUCCAUGGUCUGCAUGCUUUAAGGAUUAAUAGUUUUUUUGUUGUUGUUGUUAAAUUCCUUUUCUUCUCAUUUUGUCUCAUUUCUCUCCUCAAGGGAUUUUGUGUUUUAUGCCAGGCCAUAGGCAGCAGAGUGAGGAUCUAGGAUCUGAAGUCCUCAAGCUGAGCCUGGAGAAGCUACCCAUGGUAACAGCUGAGAUUCUUGGAAGUACAAUAAAGUCAGAGAUAUGCUGGAUAGAGGACCUGGAUCAGUCAAAUGAAGGACCCUGCAGCUAGCAUUUCUACCAGUGAUCCCACAAGUGAUCAUUGUUCUGCAAACUCAGUAGAUGGGAGGGAAACACCUGUGUCAAAAUGGAACUGGAAUAGGAGGAAGAGGGGAGAUGUAGAUGGGAGCCCCACCUCUGCAAAGGUAAAAGGCUCUCCUGUUUGUGCCCCUGACAGAUUCCUUGUGGCAGCAAGGGAGUCUGAAAAGUAUCACUUUAUAGCUGGGGACAUGAGACUUAGAAAACCGAGGUCCUGAAAGAAAGGACGAGGAGAUGGUAGAUACUGGGAGGGCAACUCACACUGCCUAUUAGGUUUGAACUUGAUCAGAAGAAUGAACUAAGAAAGUAGGGCACACGUUAAAUGAGAUCAGAUACAAGUCCUAAAACCAAACAACACAGUCCUGUGGUAUUUGGGAAUGGUUUUAUUUGGGGGAAUAUUCUGAAUCUGAGACUCUAAGGCUGAAAAAAUAAUGAGCAUUGUUUUGUAGAUUGUUACUGUACACACAUAAUGAUUUUGAGGACUGACUUUUUGGAUAGCCUUUAAUUACUAUUAUUUUCUUCUUACAAACUAUUCAAUUCUGAAGGACUAGAGGUGGGGUCCAAAUUUUCUUAGUGAAACUUUCUUGUGUAGAGCCACAGUAUACAAAUAGGGCUUCAAAAAGUUCAUGGAAAAGGCAUCAUAUGAAAAUACAAGGUAUGGUCUGCAAAUUAUUUUGAGCACCAAAAUAAACUUUUCUUCUGGGGCCAGCAUUGUGGCAUAGCGGGUAAAGCCGCCGCCUGCAGUGCCAGCAACCCACACAGGCACCGGUUCGAGUUCUGGCUGCUCCACUUCUGAUCCAGCUCUCUGCUAUGAUCUGGAAAAGCAGUAGAAGAUGGCCCAAGUCCUUGGACCCCUGCACCCACGUGGGAGACCCAGAGGAGGCUCCCAGCUCCUGGCUUCGGAUCGGCACAGCUCCAGCCAAUGCGGCCAACUGGGGAGUGAAUCAGCAGAUGGAAGAUCUCUCUCUCUUUCUCUCUCUCUCUCCCUCUCUCUCUCUCUCUCUCUCUCUGUCUCUCUCUCUCCCUCUCCUUCUCUCUGUGUGUAACUCUGACUUUCAAAUAAAUAAAAUAAAUCUUAAAAAAAAAAGUGAACCCAAGUACUUGGACCCCUAUACCCAUGAUGGAGACCAGGAAGAAGCUCCUGGCUCUUGGCUUUGGAAUGACCCAGCUGCAGCCAUUGCAGCCAUUGCAGCCAUUUGGAGAGUGAACAAUAAAAAAGGCUUGGGGCCGGCACUGUGGCAUAGUGAGUAAAGCUGCUGCCUGCAGUACCAGCAUCUGGUUUGAGUCCUAACUGCUCCACUUGCAAUCCAGCUCCCUGCUAUGCACCUGGGAAACAGUGGAAGAUGGCGUAAGUGCUUGGGCCCUUGCACCAAGGGGGGCAGAAUUGAUGAAUUUCCUGUCUCCUGGCUUCAGCCUGACCCAGCCCUGACUGUUGUGGACAUUUGGGAAGUGAGCAAAUAGAUGGAAGAUUCUCUCUCUCAGUUUCAGUCUCAAUCUCAAUCUCAAUCUCUCUCUCUUUCCAUCUCCCUCUGCCUUUCAAACAAACAAAUAAAUAAAUCUUUUUAAGACAUCUCUGCUUAUAGUGGCUAGAAAUUCAUGAUGAAUGACUUUGGCAUGUAAUUUAUUUAUAGAUCUGCUUUCCCAGGCAGUGAAUUUAUCAGUGGUAUUAAUUCUCUUUCCUAAGCCCUCAUCUGGGAUCUAACUUUCUUCUACUGGCCAAGCACGCCCUGUCCUCAGCAGAUAAUAUCCUCCAAGGGGCAUUGGCAACCAACGAUGGAGAAGCUCUGCUGAGGGUUGUUCUCCCUGCCUCAAGCUUUGCUGCACCAAGCAUGCUCUGCCACUAUUGGAGACUAAUAUUAUUCUAGUUCAUUCCCCACAGUCAAUCGGCAGGCUGUUCACACUCAGCCCACUGAACCAUGUGAGUGGGAAUGGAUUGUGAGCUGGCUAUGAGUGGCGAGAUUUUUGAUUCAUAACCAAUGCACAGGUAAGAGAAUUAUGAAAACUUCAAUGUCAAAAAAUUGUUGUUUGCAUUUGGAUAAGCCAUAAAUGGAAUAAAGAGUUGGGUACUAUUUAUUUGACAGUAAAAUUAUGAAUUGUGAUUUCAAUUUGAUGUAAUUUUAAAUAUCACACACUUUAAACACUGUGUGUCUGUAUGCCUGUUAUGUGUGUAGAAAUAAACACAUUUGUUGUUAGAAUUUAAAACUAUAUUCAGAUAUAAUUUCUAUUCUGUUUUUUUCAUCUCUUAACAUAAAAAUGCAUCACCUUUGACAUCACCUUUGACACUUUUGACAUCACCAUGUGUCUGAGCACACAAAAGCCACAGGAAUACAUAGAUAUCAUUAACAACUAAAAAAUGAAAACAAAGUAAAUAUCUAUCAACUGAUGAAUGGCUAAAAAAAGGAGACUAUCUUAUAGUCUAUUAUUAUAAUAGUCUAUUAUUAUCCUAUAGUCUAUUAUUCACCUAGAAAAAUGAAUGCAGUAGUAAUACAUGCUACAAGACCAAUGAAAAUGAAGCCAUUAUGUGAUGCAAAUGAAGCCUGAUACAAAAGACAACAUAUUGUAUCAGUCUAUGUAUGUGCAAUGGGGAGAACAGGCAAAUCUAUAAAGUGAGUAGACUGGGAAUUGGAUAUGGGGGAGGGGAAUGGGUAGGAAUGCUAAUAUUUAGCUUUUGUGUGUAUGGGGGGUUAGAAUUAUGUGAAUAUUCUAGGAUUACUUUGUGGUUGAUCACUGCUACGAAAACCACUGAACUGUACUCUUGAGAUGCGUAAAUCUUAUGGCUUGUAAAUUAUAUCUAAAUCAAGCUAUUUAACAAAAUAGAAAAUACCAGAAUUGAAAUAAUGCACUUCAGUGGGCUUCUAUUAAACUAGUAUUGGAUCUGUGCCCGAGAUACCAAUGAUAUUCUUCAGUUUCCCCUUCCCUUUUGUAUGUGUGCAUUCCUUGGGCAAAUUCCUUGUUGGGAACACGAACAAAAGACAGGUCCAGACUCUCCCAUAUGCAGCCUUGGUCUGUGCUUGAGCUACUUCCCUAAGGGUAACUCUACCUUCUACAUGAGAGGCAGUGGGGAUUCUAUAUAUGGUCCCUGAGAAGCAGAAGGCAAAGAGGUACAUUAAGAAAGUUUUUAUUUUGCCUUUUUUUUUUUUUUACAAAUUUGGAAAUGCCUUUAUAUCCACUAUGACAAUUAGAGAUUUACAAGCCAGUAUUUCAAAGUUGUCCCAUUACAUAUUAUCUCACUAUGGUCAAUGAUUCUUUGGGACAAUAGGAGAUCAAUUGAGUAAUUUUUAUAAUUAAAAAAAUUCUGUUCCUGUACCAGGAGAUGUGUAUGUUGAAAGCUAAAUUCAAUGUAAUGGGUUUGUAGGAAUUUCUUAUUCCAAUUACCAUGUAUUUGUAUUUUGUGUCUCAAAAAUGAUACGUGCUUUUUUUAAAAAAAGAUUUAUUUAUUUGAAAGUCAGAGUUACACAGAGAGAGAAAGAGAGGCAGAGAGAGAGAGAGAGAGAGAGAGAGAGAGAGAUCUUCCAUCCGCUGGUUCCCUCCUCAAUUGGCCGCAAUGGCCGGAGCUGCGCCCAUCCAAAGCCAGGAGCCAGGAGCUUUUUCUGGGUCUCCCACAUGGGUGCAGGGGCCCAAGGACUUGGACCAUCUUCUACUGCUUUCCCAGGUCAUAGCAGAGAGCUGCAUUGGAAGUGGGGCAGCCGGGACUCGAACUGGUGCCCAUAUGGGAUGCCGGCACUGCAGGUGGCAGCUUUACCUGCAACACCACAGCUCCAGCCCCUGACAUGUGCUAUUGACAUCAAGUUAUAUAUGCUAUCAGUGUGAAGUUAAAAGAAAAAUUACUUUCCUUGUUGGGUAUAGCAUAAACAGAAACCAACCUAUGUCUUUGGUUCUAUUUUAAAAGAUAUCUUAGCCAUUUUAGAAGUUAGAAGUAACUUUAGAAAAUGCUCAUUUCAAUGUUUUUUUUAAAGCAGGAGUUUGAGAGAGAUGAAGGCACCAAGGUGAGAGAAAAUGCUUGGGAAUUGGUCAGUCCCAAGAAAUGAAUACCCUCUUUCGUUUCUGGUCCUUUUUUCUCAGAGAUCACUUCAAUAAAAAAAUGUACGAGGAAUUUAGACAACUUGCUUGGGAAGAUGCAAAAGAAAAUUACAGACACAUUAACAGGGAGCUGGAUCAGAUGUGGAACAACCAAGACUUGAACCAGUGCCCACACAGGAUGCCGGUGCUGCAGGCGGUGGCUUUUCUCAUUACAGUGCAGCACCAACCCCAUGGACCCAAAAUGAAAAUUAGGGUCCCUGGCUCCCUGAGAAAGGAUAAAAUUCAGAUGAACUGCUUCUCUUUUAUUAGAUAGUCCCUGGCUACUCCAUUCGGCAAGGUUUGCCUCACUUACAGGAUGUUAAUCACAUCUCACCUGGAAGUCACUACCUGUCCAACCUCCUCACUAAGUCUCUUCCAGAUGCUUCAGGCUGCUUUGUUGGGAAUGCCUGUGUUUAAGGAGGUCCAAGGGCAUGAACAAGCCUCAGAGGUGAAAUGCAGUAAUGGACCAAUAAUUGCAACUGAUUAAGAAAACAGAUUUUCAGCCUUUAGUGGGAUAAGAAACCAGUGAAACUUCCUUCUAGUGAGUUCCACAUCAAUUUGAUGUUCCCACAUCAUCACCAAUUCUAUGGUACACAUGGCAAGAUGAAAAGUCCACAUAUGACAAAUGGAAAAGAAUACAUGGAUAUCUAUCUUAUUUCACAAUAAUUUUGUUCAUUUGUUUCUUUUCAUGGGGAAAAUCAAAAUAGCCUGUAAAUUAAAAAUCAAACUAGAGGCUUAUGAAGCCAAUAAAAUCAAAUAAAUUGGCCAGAACUAUUUUUUAAAGUCUGAGCCUUUUAUGUGCACUUGGCCUUCACUAUUAUUUUGGGGUAUCUGUAAAAGGAAAGUAAAAUAUUUAAGAAGUAUAGUUUUUCACUGUUUCAAGAAUAUUUACAUGGCUAGAAAAACUAAACAUAAAGAAGUACUAAAGCAGUUACAUGGUUUGUAAGUUUUUGAGCAUUUGAGACACUUGAAUUCCUACAGAAAAGGGCAUGAAUAUGUCACUCAGGAUGGAUACACUUGCAAGGCAUCAUUAGGGGACAGAUGACAAGGGAUUCUUAAAAGUACUUUAUAUACUCGGU